rnacentral:misc_RNA from 1 species
GCAAACUUGGUCAUUUAGAGGAAGUAAAAGUCGUAACAAGGUUUCCGUAGGUGAACCUGCGGAAGGAUCAUUACCGGUGACAGGGAGCCGUUCGGUUCCCGAGCUUACACCUCUGACCCGCGCGUCCCCUCCCGCCCUCCGGGAUGGGGACGUGUAGAAGUUACGGUUUAUCGUGUUCACCUCUCACCCCAUGUGAAACCUAUACAUUUUGCUUCGGCAGCACCGAGCGGGAGACCGCGAGGGUAAGGCUGCCGGAAGCCCAUAACAAAAACCUUCUGAUGAAAUGUCAUGCUGUCUGAUCAAUUCUUUAUUUGAGAAAUCAAGUAAUGUCGUUAAAACUUUCAGCAACGGAUCUCUUGGUUCCCGCAUCGAUGAAGAACGCAGC